GCAGAUACGCCCACGUGCACAGGACGAGUGCGCCGCCGAGCCCCGGGCUGCUCCUGCCCAGGGUGUGCAUUUGAACUGCAAAGCUUUAAAUAAGAAAAGUAAACUUGGGACUUGAAGCAAGAGUGCACGCUUGCGGGGCUUCAACCCCGGUGGGCUGUGUGCACUACUCCGUGCAUAACGCGCCAGAGGGGUCGCCAAGCAGGAAGCCUGGGCGAACGUUUUACUCCUUAAUUGGGAAGAUGGGGCCCAUACCCACACCCCUCGGGAGGUUACAGAGGGAACUUGCACAGGGAAAAUGAGCGUGGGGGCGCGGAAACACACUCUACAGCACGGAAUCCCACCCAGACGGUGCACGUUCAAUUUUAAAUGUGACUGUCCAAGUAGAGUCAGUUUGGGGAAGCUCGAUGAAAAGUGAACGUAUGGGUAUUUUACGCAUGAAAUCUGUUCAAACUGGCAUAGGACUCUAGUGUCGGGGUGUCCCCGCUGUGGGAGGUUCCUCUGGAGAUCUCUAGCUCUAGGUGGCCCCCAUAACCUACCCAGUCUCAACUCCUAAGGGGUUAACCCAAGCGGAUUCCGAGGGGCCACACAGCCCCCUACACCCCGUUACUCUCACCCACUCCGAUCCUUGUCGGAGACCCUCGCCCCUCAGCCCACCCACGUGAGUCCGUGGCCCCUUACCUGCGGUCCAGGGACGCCGGCCUCCUGUGAAGCUGGAGUGUCUGUCUGCCCCCGCACGUGUUCGCCCCGCGGAGCAGAUUGGAACCAGUCCAGUUGUCAUCUGAGAGGCUUCCUCCAUCAUGGAGGAGAUGGAGAUAGAACAACCACUGUCAGGUGGAAUACUAUGAGCUCCAGAUUCAGGAAGCCAAGACGGGAGUGUUGUGCCUGGGAAAAUUAGGACAACCCUGACUCAAAGAAACAAAAGAAACUGAAGCAAGAGGACAAACAGCAAAACAGCAUGCAUGUAAAACAGUCCCUGUCUGGAUGGACCUGCGCCUGCAGCGGGAAGUUCACUGGUCAAUUACCUGCUGACUGAAGCGGCCUAUUUUCUUCUGACCCCUGCCCCUCUCUUCCCCUCUCCGCCCUGAAAGCUGUUUGGCAUAGGGAGGUCUUGACCUGAGGAAACCAUUUUGGGUAACCAGGGCAAGGAAGGGGAAUAUGCAACACCUAGGAGAUUUCAGCAAACAGUAGAAUCAUGCCAACGUAAUCUGUGUUAAAAUGCUUGGAAUGUGGGAGCCGCUGGUGAUGUCUGUUGUCUGUGUGUCUCCAGGAAUCCUUUCUUUUUUAAGCGCAGCAAAGCCAAGCCUGGGAACCAGGCCAAGCGCCUGCCACUUACCUUAAAUUGAUCAGCCACUUUGAGAUUAAAACCCCUGAAAGCUGCCGCUCAGUGAAAGCAAGGCCUCUUUCACAUUAAAGGCAAAUUGCGACUGUG
rnacentral:lncRNA from 1 species